AGUUUUGCUGACGCCACAUGGUCCCCUUUGCCCAUGGUAAUUACCACUGACAUACCGCGAUACAAAGUCAAAAACGUGUCCGUCACCCUCCCGAUUUUUGACUGAUAUCAGUUUUUGAAUAUUUUUUUAUUCAUCUUUCCCGCCUCACUCUAAAUUAAAAAAUGCCGAAGUUUUGCUGCGUUAUUGGUUGUCAUAAUUCCUUCUCGAAGGAGAAUAUUACCUCCCACCGUUUUCCUGAUGCUGAGAAGAGUCCUGAGUUACAUGCCUUAUGGAUGGAGAAUAUAAACAAGAAUGUUCCAGUUGAGUUUACUCCAAUUAAGGGAAGUCGUGUGUGUUCUGAACAUUUUAGUGUGGACAUGAUGCAAAAAGUUGGGCAAAGGACAAUGCUGUUGCCAUAUGCUAUCCCAACAAUAUUUGAAAAGUCUCAGGUAAUUUCACAAAAUGUGGAACAUGUAGAGGUUGCAUCAAAAGAUAUUGCAAUUUGGAUGACUGGUAGAGAUUGUGUAAGUACGCAAAA